rnacentral:lncRNA from 1 species
GGGACGAAAAACUAUCUUUCGUGAAUGUACCAACCAAAACAACUUUCUCAACUAUUUUCUCAUGUAUGUUCAACUGAUCUGGAAUUGAGUGGUUGAGUACACCCAUUUAUUUCAAUUUAGGAAUCAUAAAAACAACUAAAACACAAUACAAUAAUUAAAAUACACAAACAAUAACAACAACAUUCAACACAAAUAUUUUAAAUUAUACUUGUACCUCAAUCAUAUCCCGAGUACAAUUCUCUCUGCCAACCUCAACCAACGUC